UAAUUGCAUCCUCUCAAGGCUUUUGAACCUGAAAUUUCUUAUUGGAAAUUUCCAACUUCACCAGCAUAAUGGGAACACUUCUUAACAAACUAAACUCACAGCACAAGUAUAAAGACACAGAAAUUAACUUGCAUCAUAUAAUGACCUAAGCUAGCCCUCCUGGACGAAUAACAAUCAUCUCUAAGAGAGAAACCAUAUUCUGAAA
rnacentral:misc_RNA from 1 species